rnacentral:rRNA from 1 species
UACGGAGGGUGCGAGCGUUGUCCGGAAUCACUGGGCGUAAAGGGCGCGUAGGCGGCGCGGAAAGUCGUCGGUGAAAGCUCGGGGCUCAACCCUGAGUCUGCCGGUGAUACUCCCGCGCUCGAGCUCACUAGAGGCAGAUGGAAUUCCGGGUGUAGCGGUGGAAUGCGUAGAGAUCCGGAAGAACACCGGUGGCGAAGGCGGUCUGCUGGGGUGAGGCUGACGCUGAGACGCGAAAGCGUGGGGAGCGAACAGG